rnacentral:lncRNA from 1 species
CAUUCAUCCAUGGUUCCAGAUGUUUUACUGGAAACAUUAACCUUUACCCACCAUAUGUGUGUGUGUGUUUUUUUUACAGUUUCCUUUUUCUUUUCCAAAACUCACUUUCUUCUUGUUGCGAUUGCAGGUGUGAAGAGUUGGCAUUCUCACCAAUCUUCAUAUAUUUCAAAGGUAAGGCUUUAAUAUUUUGCUAAGUAAUUAUGCAAGGAAAAUUGUGUUAAGUUGACUAGAGUAGUUGUCGGGUUCUUAGACUAAAAAAUUUGUAGGAUCUUCAUGUCAUGGUAGUUUGAAUUCUAUUUCUCUUUCAUAGUUUUUUGUACUAGAAUUUCUUCUUAACUUUUGUGUGAAAGAACUGCUUUUGAUGGCUUACUUGAAGAAAGUAGGAGUAAUUGAAAUUGAUAUUUUAAAUCUGAGAAGUGGAUGAUGCCAUAGAGCUGGCACUGCAACCAGAGAGACUUACAACAUGCUGUUAUGGCUUCCACUUGAAAUCUGGAGGUGGAAGAACUAAAAUUGGACUGCAAACAACAAAAUUCAGGACCAUAUCAUGUGUAUGUAUGGAACAUAAAAUGGGAGGUAUGUAAGUGCCACCAAAUUUUGAUGGUUUACACAAUGAAUUGGUUAUUACUUUAUUUGAUAAUUAGAAUAUUUUGAUACAGUAUUGCGAUCGAACAAGUUGUGGUGACAUAUUUCUUGCUCAGGUAGACUUCACAUAAAGGGCAAUCUUCAGCACCUGAAUUCAAGUAUUUGUAGUGAUGUGAAGCUAGGGCUGCAAAGAAAAGAAAGGAAUCAUUGCGUUCUUCUUACUCUAACAUCACGCCAACUCUCAAUAGCCAAUACAAGUUAGGGCAUAAUUGCAUUGAUCCACCGCGCAUAGCGUGGAGACCACCUCCUAGUUUCUUUUCUAAGAGCAAAAGGCUACGAUAGUCUCUAAACUAAAUAUCAGAAGUUGGAAUAGUCGCUAAACUUAAUUGUGACCAAUUUAGUCGAUCAACUAUAUAUGCCUAGCUAGCCUAGUUCUUUUUGGAUUGAACCACUAAUGACACAAAAUUCUGCAGGUGGACAAAGGGGCAAAGAAGAAAAUUCACAUUCUAGCUCCCAUUAAAAUCAUUAAAAAAAGUUUUGGUAAUAAACUUUUAUUGUAAUUAUACUUUUCAAAUAUGUUUGUGGCCUUAUAACUCCCCACAGUUAUGCAUAUUUUUUGUGGCUUUUGACUGAAAUUGAAUGUUUACUUUAUUUUGGUGGCAUAUAGACUUUUUUUUUUUUUAUCAACAAACUCCGUCCACCAGAUGGGGAUGCUAGCCCCAACUUUUAUUCAUGCAAAACAAAAUAACAGUACAUAGGGUUAGAGAAAACUAUAAAACUAGGAGUCACUACAAGAAAUUUGGCCUUUUAUGACAAUAUUAUCAGUGACGAUGAAACACUUGUCAUAAUUGACCCAAUUUAGUGAUGAUUUUUGAUGUCGUCACAGAUGACCUCACAUAGACUUAUCAUCAGUGAUAACAUGGGAUUAGUCGUCACAACAAGGGUAGCACGCAACCUAUUAGUGUCACAGUCCCACCUCACCCUAAGGCGAAUCAAAGGGUUCGGCGGACCGUCUGCCCAACUCUCGCCGGGGCUCAGUCGUUCACUACAUUUCUCAAACAGAUUACAAUAUAAAUCUUAAAUAUUACAUUAAAUUCUCCAAUAAUUACAUGUCAUAAGUGAAGCGGAAACAAUUCCCAACUAUACAUAAAAUGAUUUCCAAAUCCAAAUUGUACAAGAUAUAAGCCAUCCUGUCACGUGAAUAAGUACUACAAGUCCUUCCUUCGCCUUGAGCCCUGUGAAGGGGAAUAAAAUAGUUUUGGGGUGAGCUAAAAGCUCAGCGAGUAACCAGUAAAAUCAGUAAUCAAAUCGGUUUCACAAUAGUUCAUUUCAAUGAUGUUAUAAAUCAAAUGAUAAGUCAAGAAACAAUUACAACAUUUACAAGAAACCAUACAUGAAAAGGAUACGUUCGUUCGUUCAUUCGCUCCUUCGUUCGUUCUCCUGUCAUUCCCCUUUCCUUCAUUCAUUUGAAAAUGCAUUUUUCAUUUAUCAAUAAAACCCUCAUUCGUUCGUUCGUUCAUUCAACCUUUCCUGGACAUUGACCAGGCUCCACCAACCUCCACCAACCUACAAGGUAAUACUCGAGUAUACCAAACGUUCACCCAAGUCACCAUAUCGACCGACCGAGUCCGCUUCUGGCUCAAGUCGAUCGGUAACAAGGGGCAGUGGUCAGUUCAGCCAAAAGGCUUACAUUCAUGCACAAGUAACAUUUCAAUCGUUCCAUCUUUGAAAAUUUCACAUUUAUCGAGGUCGAGUGCGAUAAAGUACACACUCGCCUAGAAAACUGUGACGACCCCACCUCCCCCUAAGGCGAACCAGAGGGUUCGGCGGGUCGCCUGCCCAGCUCUCGCCGAGACUCAGUCGUUCAUUUCAAUCCUCAAAUGAAUUACAAUAUAAAUCUCAAAUAUUAUACAUUAUAUGGUCCACAAACAUACAUCCAAGUCUCCAAUAAUUACAUGUCAUAAGCGAAGCGGAAACGAUUCUCAACUAUACAUAAAAUGAUUCCAAAUCCAAAUUAUACAAGAUAUAUGCAAUCCAGUCACGUGAACAAGUACUACAAGUCCUUCCUUCGCCACGAGCCCUGUGGAGGGGAAUAAAAUAUUUUUGGGGUGAGUUAGAAGCUCAGCGAGUAACCAUUAAAAUCAGUAAUCAAAUCGGUUUCACAAUAGUUCAUUUCAAUGAUGUCAUAAAUCAAAUGAUAAGUCCAGAAACAAUUACAACAUUUACAAUACAUUAAAAUGGAGUAUCAAUAAUUCAAGGAACAUUUACAAUGGAAAGCGAUAGUAACAUUCAUUAAAAGGAUACGGGCUCACAUGGAGCUAUUCGUUUGUUCGUUAGUUCCCCUGACAUUUCCCCUUAUUCUUCCAAUCGUUUGAAAAUACAUUUUUUUUGUAAGUAGAAUCCCUCGUUCAUCCUUUUGUUCGUUCAUCCCCUUUUCCGGACGUUGACCGGACUCCACCCAUCCGACCAUUGGCCGGACUCCACCCAUCCGGACGUAGCCGGACUACAAGGUAAUACUCGAGUAUACCAAAUUCAUCCAGGGUCACCAUAUCGCCCGACCGAGUCCGCUUCUGGCUCGAGUCGAUCGGUAACAAAGGGCAGUGGCCAAUUCAGCCAAACGGCUUACAUUCAUGCGCAACUAGCAUUUCAAUAAUUAAAUCCUUGAAAAUUGCACAGUUAUUUAGGUCGAGUGCGAUAAAGUACACACUCGCCUAGAAAGCUCGUUUUGGAAAUCAUUCAAAGCACUUAACACGUUAUCAAUCAAUAAUACAAGUCAUGAAGUCAAGAAAAUAUAGCAAAUAAGGAACACUCACAUGCAAGCACGCAUGAUAUGCAAGAAAACAGUUCAAAAGUAACUUUGAAAACAGUUUAAAGGUAAAUAAUGCAAGAAAACGGUACAAAAGUAACUUUGGAAACAGUUCAAAAAUAAAUAAUGCAGGAAAUGGUUCAUAAAUAGUUUGAGGUCACUCACCUCCAUGGCUCAGAAACCAUCCAUCAUAUAUCAUUGCCUUGCUCAAAUCCAAGUUUUAGAUCACAAACUCAAUGCAAACAAGUCCUUUAAAAGUUCGGACAGCACUUCCCCUAAAUUUGCUUACUUUUCCAGCCAUCAUGGUUUCAUUAUUUCCUCAGCCAAUCCCAAAGGGUACACACACAACAACAAGUUCAUCCAAUAGCCAUUCAGCAAGCUCCAAGUAGUUCAAAGACAAGUCAAGCUAGGAAAAAGUCCGGAAAUGAAAGUUAAGUUCAAAACCAGAAAAACAGUUUUGACAUCCUUUUACGGUAAUGGUACCAAAGGCGCUAUGAUUGUCGGAUGAAGGUUCAAGACCCACCGUUUCGAAGCUAAGAGACAGGGCUACAAUAUUUCAGAAGGUCACUCAACCCAGUUUCGAGUGUAACCAGGUCAAAAACACAAGAAACUACACCAGAAUCACAAAAACAGCUUCACAGAACGCAUUCUAGCGGAAACAUCAUAACUCAGGCUCUCCAAGUCCAAAUCCAUAAAUUCCAAAACCAGCUGAUAGCUAAGAAACAGGGAUAAAUUUCAUCAGAAGGCCUUAACAACUAAUUCGGAAGCAAUCCUGACCAAAACAACCAAUUACAGGCGCAAUUCUUACAUUCGGGUAAAACCAGAACAGCAAUAGUAAUUUCGACUUUCUCACUCUACGCUACUCCGAUUGACCUGAAAUUUUGUAGGCACCUCUAAAAUGUCAUUCCCUACAACUUUUAUGUUUUAAGCCAAGUUCAAUUCGGCCUCUAACUAAGAGCUAAAAAUUCGGGCAGAAUGUUCCUUCACAAAACCUAAUUUUCUGAAAUUUCUUCCAAAACAGAAAUUGAUUGCAAUUGUCCACUUUUUCCACCUUCUAGAAUCAUUAUAUACCAUUUCCAAUCAUCAUAGAUAGCCACACAAUCAUGCUUAUAUUAAAACAGAAAAAUCCCCAAAAAUAAUAAAACUUCAUCACUUCAACCACAAAUCAAGAAAUAAUCCAUAAAAGUGCAUCUUAUACCACCACCAAUCAUGAAUUGAACAUCAUUAGAGGAAGGAGAGGGGUCAUUCACAACUCACCUUAGCAAUACAAGAGAUAGAGCAACUAGUCACCUUAGCUUUCCAAACAACUCCACAAAACACCUCAAGACCACUUAGCAAAGAGAUUUUAUGGAAUGAUUUGGAGUUUUAUUGGUUGGAUUUGAAGAUUGAGCGAGAAAUAGAAGGAAGAAAUUGAGAGCUUUUCUUUCUUUUCCUCUCCAAUAAAUUCGGCCAAGAAGCUUGCAAAAUGAAGAGAUUUUUGGCCAAUUUUAAUUAAAUGGUAAAGUUAUGAAUAGUAGUCAAACUCAAGACUAAAUCUUAUGGUGACACUUGUCACCUUUUGGUUCAAAACUUAUCUUUUUGUCUCUCCAAUACAAAUAUCUUAACACCUUGUAAAAUAAUAUCACUUAAUACAAAAUUCCAACAAGUUGUCAAAAAUAUAAUGCAUUUACCGCACUGGCGGGUCCCACGUCCAAAAUACGCUUUGAAUUUCUCAAAAACUAACCGAUACUAGAAAAAUCAUUUUAAAACUAUCUUUGCUCAUAAACUUUAUCUGGGAAAUUUUUCUAAUCAAGAAAAUGUAGAAAAGGCGGGCGAUUAAAAAAAAAAUAAACCCUAGAAAAUUAGAAAAUUUCCGGUUUCUCAAACUCAUUUUUUUUGGGGCGUCACAAACUCCCCUCCUUAAAAGAAUGUCGUCCUCGACAUUCCAUCUUGUACUAAUCAAGUCAAGACAUCCCGCAAGAAUUACUAAUAUUGCAAACCAAACCCACAGUCCGGCAUCCUAAACUUCAAGCCUAGGAUACACUACAGAGAUCUGAAGCCUAAGCUCUGAUACCAGGUGUGACGGCCCCACCUCCCCCUAGGGCGUACCCCAGGGUUCGGCGGACCGCCUGUCCAACUCUCGCCGGGACUCAGUCGUUCACUACAAUCCUCAAAUGCAUUACAAUAUAAAUCUCAAAUAUUAUACAUUACAUGGUCCACAAACAUACAUCCAAGUCUCCAAUAAUUACAUGUUAUAAGCGAAGCGGAAACGAUUCUCAACUAUACAUAAAAUGAUUCCAAAUCCAAAUUAUACAAGACAUAUGCCAUCCAGUCACGUGAACAAGUACUACAAGUCCUUCCUUCGCCACGAGCCCUGUGGAGGGGAAUAAAAUAUUUUUGGGGUGAGCUAGAAGCUCAGCGAGUAACCAUUAAAAUCAGUAAUCAAAUCGGUUUCACAUAGUUCAUUUCAAUGAUGUCAUAAAUCAAAUGAUAAGUCCAGAAACAAUUACAACAUUUACAAUACAUUAAAAUGGAGUAUCAAUAAUUCAAGAAACAUUUACAAUGGAAAGCGAUAGUAACAUUCAUUAAAAGGAUACGCGCUCACAUGGAGCUAUUCGUUUAUUCGUUCGUUCCCCUAACAUUUCCCCUUAUUCCUCCAAUCGUUUGAAAAUACAUUUUUUUUGUAAGUAGAAUCCCGUUCAUCCUUUUGUUCGUUCAUCCCUUUUCUUUUCCGGACGUUGACCGGACUCCACCCAUCCGACCAUUGGCCGGACUCCACCCAUCCGGACAUAGCCGGACUACAAGGUAAUACUCGAGUAUACCAAAUUCACCCAGGGUCACCAUAUCGCCCGAUCGAAUCCGCUUCUGGCUCGAGUCGAUCGGUAACAAAGGGCAGUGGCCAAUUCAGCCAAACGGCUUACAUUCAUGCGCAACUAGCAUUUCAAUAAUUAAAUCCUUGAUUGUGGUCAUUGUAAUAAUUCAGUUCGGUUGACCAUAAGGACAAUUGUAUUACAAUUUUGCCAUCCCAUUGCAUUUUUCUUGCCGAUGACAAGAAAUUGGUUUUGGUUUUACCGUUUUCUUCAUCUUCUUCGUGCUCAUGUCAAGAGGUAAAAUUCUACUUACCCUUGGGUUGUAUUUGUAAUAUAACAUAAUUCCAUUAUUGUUGACGGCUAUUGAAAGGAGUUUCUUGAUUUGACUGUAGCACUUUCUUUGCUCUGUCCAACUCACCGCUACCGACAUUGUUGCUCGGAUUUUCUGCUUAUGCUAAUGGUUAGUGAUGUGUUUACUCUUUGCAUUCUUUUUUUGUAUAAUUUUUUAUAGCAUGACAUCCUAUCUUCCCUCUUACAUGAUUGUCUUUGGUAGUUGCUUUGCUCUGUUCUUAUUUUCUCUUUUAUUGCUCCGUUCCUUCGAAGCCUCUUCUUGGUUUUGCUCUUCUUGAUACAGAUUGGUCAGGUGAGCUUUUUCUUUUACUGAACUAUCUCAUCUAUAAUGCUGUUUAUUCCAAUAUGUUUUUUUGGUCGAACAUUCGUGGACUAACUCAGCUUUACUUACUUUGUUUAUGGGUGUUUUAUAUUUUGCCGUUGCAUUAAGGUAAGCCUAUGUUAAAUUUCCUGUCUUCUUUGAUUCUUUAUUCUACCUUUCAUUUAUCCAUUAUUUGUUCUUAUUUGUGUUCUGCCUUUUUCCCCUGUUUUCCCUUUACAUUUUGCAUGAGCUUUCUUCGUCUGUGGUUGCUGUAAGGAACUUUCUUUCUUUGUCACUAGACACUUGCAAAUUGGACUGUUCUGUGAGCCACCGAAUGUUUUGCUUCCACUCAAAAGAGUGACAAUAAUUGUGCUUUUUCUUCAAUGGUUGGGCCUAUUUUCCACCUUGCCUAACCUUUUAAACUAUACCUGCUUCUUUGACUUUGCCGUCGAUUUUCCGUCUUGUUCGUAUGGUGUUAGGAGCUGUUUUUCUUCUCAGAAGGUGAUGGGAUUUGGUGGAUGACGAGCUCAAGAAGGUAAGGGGCUAGUAAUCUUCUGUCUUGGUUACUCUUUCCAUUUUUCUCUUUUUUCUUCAUUUCCCUUUUCCCUCCUACCUCCCUCGAGUAAUAAUAGUUAGUUUCUUCUAUUUUUUUGCCUUUUUUUCCCUAAUCUUUUUUUUCCUUUGCUAAAAGCAACAAAUCAUUUUCUCCUCUCCUCUGCGUCUCUGUUUGUUAUGUUCUCAGAUAUUUUGCUAUUAAGAAAACUUCAUUUUUUUUGGGCUUUGUAAUCACUGAAUCUCCACUAUACUUAAUUUUCUGACAUGCUUCAUUUUUUCCCAUCUUUUAAGGAUUUAGCUUGCAUGUUUCAUCAAUAAAUAUUUUCAUCAUUUUAAUCUGGACUUGGAUAAUAGCUACAUUUUUUGUCCAUUUUUUCCUUUUGUUAGGUGGGAAAAGAUGAUUAAGAUUGGAGAUGAAUUGAUGAUGAUUUUGAUGGAGGUUUUACAUUCAUCCAUGGUUCCAGAUGUUUUACUGGAAACAUUAACCUUUACCCACCAUAUGUGUGUGUGUGUUUUUUUUACAGUUUCCUUUUUCUUUUCCAAAACUCACUUUCUUCUUGUUGCGAUUGCAGGUGUGAAGAGUUGGCAUUCUCACCAAUCUUCAUAUAUUUCAAAGGUAAGGCUUUAAUAUUUUGCUAAGUAAUUAUGCAAGGAAAAUUGUGUUAAGUUGACCAGAGUAGUUGUCGGGUUCUUAGACUAAAAAAUUUGUAGCAUCUUCAUGUCAUGGUAGUUUGAAUUCUAUUUCUCUUUCAUAGUUUUUUGUACUAGAAUUUCUUCUUAACUUUUGUGUGAAAGAACUGCUUUUGAUGGCUUACUUGAAGAAAGUAGGAGUAAUUGAAAUUGAUAUUUUAAAUCUGAGAAGUGGAUGAUGCCAUAGAGCUGGCAUUGCAACCAGAGAGACUUACAACAUGCUGUUAUGGCUUCCACUUGAAAUCUGGAGGUGGAAGAACUAAAAUUGGACUGCAAACAACAAAAUUCAGGACCAUAUCAUGUGUAUGUAUGGAACAUAAAAUGGGAGGUAUGUAAGUGCCACCAAAUUUUGAUGGUUUACACAAUGAAUUGGUUAUUACUUUAUUUGAUAAUUAGAAUAUUUUGUUACAGUAUUGCGAUCCAACAAGUUGUGGUGACAUAUUUCUUGCUCAGGUAGACUUCACAUAAAGGGCAAUCUUCAGCACCUGAAUUCAAGUAUUUGUAGUGAUGUGAAGCUAGGGCUGCAAAGAAAAGAAAGGAAUCAUUGCGUUCUUCUUACUCUAACAUCACGCCAACUCUCAAUAGCCAAUACAAGUUAGGGCAUAAUUGCAUUGAUCCACCGCGCAUAGCGUGGAGACCACCUCCUAGUUUCUUUU